rfam:Gossypium arboreum cultivar AKA8401 contig_52919_1, whole genome shotgun sequence.
GUGCUUAAGGGAUGAAGAAGUCCCUUAAACUCAAUAUCCAUCUAAAUCACUUUGUCAGUGGCCUUUUUUGGUGGCGUAUUGAUCAUUACCGGAUGGAAAAUUC